rnacentral:rRNA from 1 species
AUGGUAGCUUGCUACUGUUUGUUUCUAGCGGCGGACGGGUGAGUAACGCGUGAGCAACCUGCCUUUCAGAGGGGGAUAACGUUCUGAAAAGAACGCUAAUACCGCAUAACAUCAAUUUAUCGCAUGAUAGGUUGAUCAAAGGAGCAAUCCGCUGGAAGAUGGACUCGCGUCCGAUUAGCCAGUUGGCGGGGUAACGGCCCACCAAAGCGACGAUCGGUAGCCGGACUGAGAGGUUGAACGGCCACAUUGGGACUGAGAUACGGCCCAAACUCC